rnacentral:rRNA from 1 species
GACGAACGCUGGCGGCGUGCUUAACACAUGCAAGUCGAACGGAAAGGCCCUGCGCUUGUGGGGUGCUCGAGUGGCGAACGGGUGAGUAACACGUGAGUAACCUGCCCUUGACUUUGGGAUAACUUCAGGAAACUGGGGCUAAUACCGGAUAGGAGCUCCUGCUGCAUGGUGGGGGUUGGAAAGUUUCGGCGGUGGGGGAUGGACUCGCGGCUUAGUAGCUAGUUGGUGGGGUAGGUGCUUACCAAGGUUAUGAUGGGUAGCCGGCCUGAGAGGGUGAUCGGCCACCCUGGAACUGAGACACGGUCCAGACUCCUACGGGAGGCAGCAGUAGGGAAUCUUCCGCAAUGGGCGAAAGCCUGACGGAGCAACGCCGCGUGAGUGAUGAAGGUCUUCGGAUCGUAAAACUCUGUUAUUAGGGAAGAACAUAUGUGUAAGUAACUGUGCACAUCUUGACGGUACCUAAUCAGAAAGCCACGGCUAACUACGUG